GACGAACGCUGGCGGCGUGCCUAAUACAUGCAAGUAGGACGCACAGUCUAUACCGUAGCUUGCUACACCAUAGGCUGUGAGUUGCGAACGGGUGAGUAACGCGUAGGUAACCUGCCUAUUAGAGGGGGAUAACUAUUGGAAACGAUAGCUAGUACCGCAUAACAGUAUGUAACACAUGUUAGAUGCUUGAAAGAUGCAAUUGCAUCGCUAGUAGAUGGACCUGCGUUGUAUUAGCUAGUAGGUAGGGUAAUGGCCUACCUAGGCGACGAUACAUAGCCGACCUGAGAGGGUGAUCGGCCACACUGGGACUGAGACACGGCCCAGACUCCUACGGGAGGCAGCAGUAGGGAAUCUUCGGCAAUGGGGGGAACCCUGACCGAGCAACGCCGCGUGAGUGAAGAAGGUUUUCGGAUCGUAAAGCUCUGUUGUUAAGGAAGAACGAGUGUGAGAAUGGAAAGUUCAUACUGUGACGGUACUUAACCAGAAAGGGACGGCUAACUACGUG
rnacentral:rRNA from 1 species